CGAAUUUACGAUGGCAUUGAUGAUUGGCUGGCAUAUGGUUCUCAAUUGUUUCUAUUUCCUUUGUAUUUUUGUGACAGUAGCGACACACUGAUUAUUGCAAGCAAUCAAGAAGGUGAUGGUUUUUACAACCAACAGGCAAUUCUCUAUAAUUGGAGAUAUAAUAUAGUAGAGGAAAUUACUUCAAAGCACACCGAGAUAUUGUGGUUUUAUACCAAGGAUUAUGUUGAAAGCUUGGUUUCGACCUGUCCAAAUAGUAUCUAGAAUCAUAACUGUCCUGUCACUUGUGGUACGAGCUUGUCGUCAGGCAUCAAGGACCGCACCAUCAAUCAACUUCAAGCACAUAAGGCAUUAUUGAGGUUGAUGGCUUGGUAGGAAGUAAGGAAAAAGUAUUAUUGGAGCUAUAUUUUCUUCUGUUUUAGUGCUCAUUUGGUAUAAGAUGUUUAUGGCUCUAUUGGUUCCUCUUUUGGACUACUUUGUAAGUGUCGAUAGAAUUUACCGCCAAAUAUGUUGUUUUACAAUUGUACUCCUAUUUGUGUAAGAGAGCCAUUGGGAAGAAUUAUUGUUGCUGAAACAUCCAACUAUUUUCUGAUGAUAUCAA